CGGCGGACGGGUGAGUAACGCGUGGGUAACCUGCCUCAUACAGGGGGAUAACAGUUAGAAAUGACUGCUAAUACCGCAUAAGCGCACAGUACCGCAUGGUACAGUGUGAAAAACUCCGGUGGUGUGAGAUGGAUCCGCGUCUGAUUAGCCAGUUGGCGGGGUAACGGCCCACCAAAGCGACGAUCAGUAGCCGACCUGAGAGGGUGACCGGCCACAUUGGGACUGAGACACGGCCCAA
rnacentral:rRNA from 1 species